UUUCUCUCCUUCCGUUUGUUCUGUUCGGAAUUAGGUUUCUCUUUUUAAUCAACAAUGGAAGACAUUAUUAAUGGAGUAACUAAUCUCAACAUCAGCGAUUCACACAAGAAGAAUCGGAUUGAAGUCUUUAAUACUAAAAACCUCCUCUUUUUUUUAUGGAAAUCUUUCCAAGGUUCCGAAUAAAGAGAAAAACCUGAGUCCUUUGGACAAAUUAAUAUAUGUUAGUCACUGCAACUUAGAAGCAGUGGAAAUAAAGAAGACCAAGAAGACAGAUGGCAUAGCAUUACCAUGAGCAACUCUCAGAUUUCCAUUCACAUAAACCACACUUAAACUAAGUUGGUCGAAGAAUUAAGGAGUGGUUUGGCAAAGGAAGGCCACCAUACAGAUUUUAAGAUAGCCAAGGGGCUGCUUACUGAAGAUGAACAUGUUGCUCACUGAGAUUGCUAAAUUUGAACUUGCUGUUGUAUGCUCAUGGUCAGACGAGAUUCAUGUCCAUUACUGCUGGAGAGGAUAACUACACUUUGUUGACACACCAGAUUCUAUAGCAGCUAUGAACAUUGGUGUAGGUCUUUUCUUUCUCCUUUUUUGCUUAAUUUAUAAUUUUUUGCUCACUUGCUCCUUUAUCUUGAUGAGCUUUUUAUUUUCUUAGCGGGAGAUUCCAUGGCUCAGGUGGAAAUAAAGAUAGGUAUUAGUUUUUUGUUUUACUUUUAUGUUGGUUAACUUGGUAUAAACCUUUCUUUUGCUGUAUGAAAUCCUAUUCUUAAUACUGAUUUGAAAUGGUUCACGUAAAGGCUUCUUUUAGCAUACAAGCUCAGGGUCAGUGGUAGUUGCUUUGCCAGGACUUCAGAGGGGGCAAAUAAGGAUUGAGAAUUAUGACUAAGAAGACUAAGUUCAUUAUUUCUCAUGAUUCAAACAUUGAAUGUUUGUCACUAACACAAAAUGGGAAGUUGCUUGCUACAGGAAGCUCAGAGGGAACCUUGGUUAGAAAUUUUAAACUUUGUUGCAAGAUGUAUGUUUAGUUUACAUAGAAACCCUUAUUUUUCUUGCACUGAAAACUAUUUUAUAUAUAUAGCUUUGUUGCCUAUUCUGUAUGAUCCUUCUACGAUUUAGCAGUGUUUGUAAGAGAGGCCCAUACAAAACGAGUUUGUUCGAGACCUUAUUUAGGUGCAGGUGCUGCUAUUUGUCCUGGCGAAUCAUUCUUAAGAGUCAUAACUCUACAACUCCAGCCUCAUUGGUUUCAGUCAUUUUCUUAUCCCUAUUCAUGCAUUUUUUUUUUUGAUUAUUUUCUGUUCCAAAUGCUUUUUGUGCAUCGUGAUAUACUGUCAGUCAGUGCAUGAUUCAAAUUGGACCAACUGUAAGAUUCAUCAUGAGCUGAUCCAAAGUAUGUAGGGAUUUCUUUAAUAGUUUGUUCCUAGAUGAGUGCCUCAGCAUGACUGUAUUGAACCAACUAUAAGAUCCUUGCAUGUAAGUUAUAUUUCUGAUUUAUGUUACUCAAAGAUCAGUAAUUUAAGAGUGACUAAAACACGAAGAGAAAGUACUUGCUGAGUUUCUCUAACUUAUGUCUACGCGAAACUAUGUUGUCAGAUAAUCAUAGACUAGAUAACUUCGAUGGUGGGGAUUACAGGCAGUUUGAACCCUCACUUAAAAACCACCACCAUCACUUUUGAUACCCUAGAAACAAUUUGUAUGAGUAAAUGACUAAUCCUUGUGUGUUGGGCUUGACUCAACUAAUCCACAUAGCCAUGUGGAAGUAGCAUCCACUUAAGUACCUCUAAGUGAUGUCAUUGUGGUACCCUACCAAAUGGGUAUGCAGUUUUCUUCUUGAUUUGGUUAUCUAAUGGAUGAUUAAUGCAGGGAAUCGUGUAUAAAUAACUGAAAGAGAGGACUUUUUACUUUGUAGGAGGGGGUUUAGUGAGAACAGAAGACAGAAAAUAGAAAAUUGGAGAAGUUGAUGAUGUUUUUGUUGCAGGUAUUACAAAUGCUGAGACUAUUCUACAUGAAAUUCAGGUAGGGGAGGGGGCAUUAUUUUAUUUGUAAACUUAUGAAUUGUUCUAUAACAGGAAUCUCCAAGAUUAACCUGCUUAUCAUAGAAAACGGGAAUCUUUAAGUUCACCUUUGCAUCUUUGCUUUCUGUUGAAACCUGCAAAAGCAAUUGAGAAUGAGAAUUAUGCUUUAACAGCUGGAAUUCAAUAUCAAAAUUCCGAACUAGAGAAUGGCACAGUGAGAUGACGUCAUUAGGACUAUUCAUGUCUCUAACCUUGAUCAACAGGUUACUGGAGAACAUCUAGCAGCACUCUUCAUAGAUUGUUCAUAUUUGGUGAAUGAUCUUUGUAGGAACCUCUUUGAUAUUAUAUGAAGCUUUUUCUACAAGUAUUGUCAUAGUUCCAAGGGAUUGGGGCCAUCAAUAUGCAAUCUUUCGCUUUUUAAUUUUUGCAUUGCUACGAACACAGCUACUUUAAAAAAUUAUACCACAGAAUGAGCGGAACCAGUGUAAACUUGAUUAUUUUGGUUGUUGGGGCUUGCACUGCAAUAGUAAAACAAGUAUAUCUUCUUUUGUUCUAAAAUACUUAGCUUA